rnacentral:rRNA from 1 species
CUUCCGUAGGUGAACCUGCGGAAGGAUCAUUACAGACGCCAUGCCAGAAGGGUAGACCUCCCACCCUUGUGUAUUAUUACUUUGUUGCUUUGGCGAGCUGCCUUCGGGCCUUGUAUGCUCGCCAGAGAAUACCAAAACUCUUUUUAUUAAUGUCGUCUGAGUACUAUAUAAUAGUUAAAACUUUCAACAACGGAUCUCUUGGUUCUGGCAUCGAUGAAGAACGCAGCGAAAUGCGAUAAGUAAUGUGAAUUGCAGAAUUCAGUGAAUCAUCGAAUCUUUGAACGCACAUUGCGCCCCUUGGUAUUCCGGGGGGCAUGCCUGUUCGAGCGUCAUUUCAACCCUCAAGCUUAGCUUGGUAUUGAGUCUAUGUCAGUAAUGGCAGGCUCUAAAAUCAGUGGCGGCGCCGCUGGGUCCUGAACGUAGUAAUAUCUCUCGUUACAGGUUCUCGGUGUGCUUCUGCCAAAACCCAAAUUUUUCUAUGGUGACCUCGGAUCAGGUAGCAACACCCGAGAAACUUAAGCAUAUCAAUAAGCGGAGGAA